rnacentral:tRNA from 1 species
GAGGGUGUAGUUCAGUGGUAGAGCAUGUGCUUAGCAUGCACGAAGUCCUGGUUUCAAUCCCCAGUACUUCCA